GUGUCAGCAGCCGCGGUAAUACGAAGGGGGCUAGCGAUGUUCGGAUUUACUGGGCGUAAAGCGCACGUAGGCGGAUCGUUAAGUCACGGGUGAAAUCCCAGAGCUCAACUCUGGAACUGCCCUUGAUACUGGCGAUCUUGAGUCCGGAAGAGGUGAGUGGAACUCCUAGUGUAGAGGUGGAAUUCGUAGAUAUUAGGAAGAACACCAGUGGCGAAGGCGGCUCACUGGUCCGGUACUGACGCUGAGGUGCGAAAGCGUGGGGAGCAAACAGGAUUAGAAACCCUUGUAGUCC
rnacentral:rRNA from 1 species